GACGAACGCUGGCGGCGUGCUUAACACAUGCAAGUCGAACGGAAAGGUCCUGCUUUUGUCGGCUGCCCGAGUGGCGAACGGGUGAGUCACACGCGUGUAACCUGCCCUUGUCUUUGGGACAACAUCAGGUAACUGGGGCUAAUACCGGAUAGGAGCUUCUGCUCCACGGUGGCGGCUGGAGAGUGUCGGCCGUUGGGGAUGGACUCCCGGCUUAUCGGCCUGUGGGUGGGGUAGUGGCUUACCAAGGCUUUGACGGGUAGCCGGCCUGGGAGGGUCACCGGCCACAUUGGGACUGAAAUACGGCCCAGACUACUACGGGAGGCAGCAGUGGGGAGUAUUGCACAAGGGGCGGAAGCCUGAUGCGACAACGCCACGUGGGGGAAGACGGCCUUCGGGUUGUGAACCGCUUUCGCCUGUGACGAAGCGUGAGUGACGGUAAUGGGUAAAGAAGCACCGGCUAACUACGUG
rnacentral:rRNA from 1 species